UUGACAUCCAGAGAAUUUAGCAGAGAUGCUUUAGUGCCUUCGGGAACUCUGAGACAGGUGCUGCAUGGCUGUCGUCAGCUCGUGUUGUGAAAUGUUGGGUUAAGUCCGCAACGAGCGCAACCCUUAUCCUUUGUUGCCAGCACGUAAUGGUGGGAACUCAAAGGAGACUGCCGGUGAUAAACCGGAGGAAGGUGGGGAUGACGUCAAGUCAUCAUGGCCCUUACGAGUAGGGCUACACACGUGCUACAAUGGCGCAUACAAAGAGAAGCGACCUCGCGGGAGCAAGCGGACCUCAUAAAGUGCGUCGUAGUCCGGAUUGGAGUCUGCAACUCGACUCCAUGAAGUCGGAAUCGCUAGUAAUCGUAAAUCAGAAUGUUACGGUGAAUACGUUCCCGGGCCUUGUACACACCGCCCGUCACACCAUGGGAGUGGGUUGCAAAAGAAGUAGAUAGCUUAACCUUCGGGAGGGCGUUUACCACUUUGUGAUUCAUGACUGGGGUGAAGUCGUAACAAGGUAAGCGUAGUGCU
rnacentral:rRNA from 1 species